rnacentral:tRNA from 1 species
GGCAGAGUUGCGUAGGUGCAGUUCAGGGGAGUUUGGCGGUGGGACUGUAAAUCCGUCGGCCUAGCCUACGCAGGUUCGAACCCUGCACCCGCCACCA